ACGGGGAUGGUUCAACGGAAGAACGAGGGCCUUUGAAGCCCGCGAUGCAGGUUCGACCCCUGCUCCCCGUACCA
rnacentral:tRNA from 1 species